rnacentral:rRNA from 1 species
UACGGAGGGUGCAAGCGUUAUCCGGAAUCACUGGGUUUAAAGGGUGCGUAGGCUGUUUGAUAAGUCAGUUGUGAAAUACCCCGGCUUAACCGGCGGUCGUGCGAUUGAUACUGUUAGACUUGAAUCAGGUUGAGGUAGGCGGAAUGUGGCAUGUAGCGGUGAAAUGCAUAGAUAUGCCAUAGAACACCGAUUGCGAAGGCAGCUUGCUGGACCUAGAUUGACGCUGAGGCACGAAAGCGUGGGGAGCAAACAGG